rnacentral:rRNA from 1 species
CCUACGGGAGGCAGCAGUGAGGAAUAUUGGUCAAUGGACGCAAGUCUGAACCAGCCAUGCCGCGUGCAGGAAGACGGCUCUAUGAGUUGUAAACUGCUUUUGUACGAGGGUAAACGCAGAUACGCGUAUCUGUCUGAAAGUAUCGUACGAAUAAGGAUCGGCGAACUCCGUGCCAGCAGCCGCAGUAAUACGGAGGAUUCAAUCGUUAUCCGGAUUUAUUGGGGUUAAAGGGUGCGCAGGCGGUCGAAUAAGUUAGAGGUAAAAACCCGAGGGUCAACUACGGAAUUGCCUUGGAUAUGAUGUUGUUGAGGGGGCGAGAAGUAUGCGGAAUGAGUGGGGUAGAGGUGAAAGGCAAAGAUAUCACGCAGAACUCUGAUUGCGGAGGAAGCAGAACGGCGCCCAAAUGACGCUGAAGCACGAAAGCGUGGGUAUCGAACAGGAUUAGAGACCCCAGUAGUC